GGCCAUUUGAAGCUGAAGGGAAUUUGUGUGGAAACUGUGAAAAAUUCUCUGCAAAUACUGAAAUAUUUACAAUUGUUGGCAAAUUUACGACUCCCUGGAGGAGCGCUGGGCUGUUGACGACAGAAAGAUGAUUGUCGUUUAUCCUUGGCCUGCAAUCUUUUCAGCCUGCAUUUAUAAUAGUUAAUUAGCUACAUUGUUCGAGUUAACUGCGCAAGUGACCUUAUUUUUCAUUUCCCUCCACUACACCUUACACUCGCGCCCUCUCUCACAGCUCUCACGACCUUAAUAAGGGGGGGAAAAUUAAAUAAAAGACAUUAAUUUCGUUAUUGUUGUGAAACGUCAACAACAACACACAUGCAGACGGGCGGGGGUACAUAUGUACAGAAACACACACACACACACACACACACAAUGUUGAUCAAUAUUUUCAACGUGGAAUGCGCUUUUUUUGCUCCUUUCGGGCAUUAACUUUGUUAAGUCUUCCUUUUUGUCUGUGCUGAAUGUUGGAGAAAGCCAAUUUUCCAUGCGGUUCUCCCCAUCGUUCAUUAUGUUUAUGUCAAUGCAAACUUGAUGCAACACGAGUUGAAUUAUUAAAAUCGUGCAACGGCAAUGUCAAGGCAGAAACAGCAGCAGUAUCAACAGCCAGGCAUAAAUGCAGUGAAUUGGCAGGCCUUUAACCUGGCCAACACCCUGCCCCGUGACUGUUGCUUCUGCACUGAGUCCCCACAGAGUCCCCCUUUUCCGGACAUGAACCUUUAUGCAAAUGUGCCAUAUAUCUUCUGGCCUUAAUGUCAUUUUUCUUUGCCGUCGAUAGCGCUGCUGUCUGUCUGCCUGCACGCCUCCCUCUCUCUCUCUCUCUCUCUUUCACGCUCACUCACUCACUCACUCACUCACUCACUCCUUGGGUUCGUGGCAUGAGUUAUGGCCAAUAAAUUGGACAUGUUAACUGUGUGUCAUUGUGCGGGGCCAGGAGACCGCAGGCCAUGCAAUUUUAUGCUGAAAUUAAUUGCAAGUAUUUCGCACAGAUGAAGCGUCGAGAAAGACAGGCAGAAGGAGAUACGUAGUGAGAAACGGGGGAAAAGGAGUGAGGGAAAACAUGGGUUAAAAGGAGACAGACCGACAGGACACAUGGCAACGGGUCGUAUGAGUAAUAAUAUAAUUAGCAUGCACAUUUAUUAAAAAAUGAUGAAAGUGCACAAAAGCAAGCGACGAACGAUGACGUGCGAUGCCUCAUGGGUCGAUGGACCGAUGGCGAGGCCGAAAACCCCAGAAGCCAGGAAAUGAAAUCACGAUGCAGUGCAAAUUAUUAUUGCAAAAAAUUUAACCAUAGAACAGGAGAUCCGUCGGGUAGCCCAGGAUGCCACGCAUGCAAGCGAAUCACAGAAGUGAGAUCGUAAAAAUUAAUGACAUUUUCAAGGCGUUUUAAUGUCCCACCAACCGCCCGAACAUAUGGCUACACAAUUUUAUGCCCUUACUCCUCGCACCAUGGCCACAAUUUCAUGGUGACAUACACACACACAUACACACACAUACACACACAGACAUACAUUUUGUGUAUGCCUCCGAUGGGCGGUGGUCUGCGCUGGAGGCGUGUCCGGUGCGCGACUCUUUUUCUUUCAUUAAAUAAAUUGGAUUUUUUUCGAGAAGGGGUUGAAAAGUUGCGACAAGAAUUUCCAGCAGAGUUUUCCGAAAAGCAAAAAGAAAACAUCCAUUUGGAUUAGCCGCUAAAUUGUUCGGGGGAUUCCGAGGAAUUGAAGUUUUUGCACCACACAAAAAAUACAGCUAAAUGUGGGAGAUUUAUCGAGGACUUUUCUUUUGACCUUUUGAAAGGCAAAGCAGUAGCUAAGAAAACUUUUAAAAUACAUCCAAAUCCUUGGUUUGAUU
rnacentral:lncRNA from 1 species